ACGCGGCGGAUGCGGGCGGAUUGGAGCGGGCGGCGUUACAAAUUUGUAUUUAACAGAACGCAAUGGACGCGAGACGGACUGGCUCCGGAACGGAGGCGUCAUUGCGGCUCGUUUUUAAUAAAAAGCCGUGAACACUCUUACAAAACGCGGAAUGGAGUGGGUCCGAAAUGAGUGGCAUCGCGACUUCAAUUGAAUGCGGCAGAUGCGAGACAGACGUGCUCCAGAACAACGCAACUUAUUUUCACAAUUUGUGAAAAGAAGAAAGAAGAGAGAAGAAGUUGGACAAUUACUCAAAAUAAGAGGCCUAGGAGAAGUAUCGGUGGAGCAACUUAGCGAAUCAUCGUAGCCACGUUGCUGACAACUCCACUAUUGCGCAUCGGAAUGGUGAGUGAUAAACAACUUUAAUAAUGAGAUAACGAAUCUAUGAAAAAUAUAUUAAAUAGUAUAUAAAUUAUAUUUGAAAUAAGUUAAAACUUCAUGGAUUUGUUACUAUAAAAUGGAUAAACUUCAAAAUAUUAUAAAAAAUGCUUAAUCUCGAACUCAUCUUUUAUUAUUUGUUAAUUUAGUCUAUUAUUGUGCCUGAGGUUAACUUGCAUAGGCAUACAUGUAAAAAAAUAAAUAAAUUUCACUAGUUAUAUUAUUUAUCAGAGUAAAAUAAAAAAUAAUUAAAUUUUCAAGUCAAAGUAAAACAAAGUAAAGUUGCUCUUUCAUUAUAAACAAUGUGGAAAUCAGAAAAUAACUUAUAUAUUUUUUUUAUUUUAAUAAAAAUAUUUCAAUACAUAGGAAAAAAUUAUUGAAACAGUUAAGUUGUCGUUUAAUCAAAUUGCAGAAAUAAAUAGCAAAUAAUAUAAGAAAUA